AGCUCUAGUAGCGUAUACUAAAAUUGCUGUGGUUAAAAAGCUCGUAGUUUAGUUUCUUUUAUUGGGUUUGUUUCCGUUGUAUUUAUACGGCGUGUAAACUCCUCCCAAUUUAAUUCGGUACGUUAUUUACUUAACGUGCUAUUUUACCGAGAUCAAAUCAAACUGCUCAAAGAAGGCUCACGCCAGAACACUACAGCUUGGCACAAAAACAUAGGGAUUCUAGUUUUUAUAAUCAAAAACACUCAAAUCAAUAACACAUAGGAGCAAUUGGGGGUGCUUGUAUUUCAAGGCUAGAGGUGAAAUUCUUGGAUCCUUGAAAGACAAUCUCAUGCGAAAGCAUUCACCAAGCGUGUUUCCAUUG
rnacentral:rRNA from 1 species